CAGGAGUCUGGCAGAUGUGAUCCUAACAGUUCUCUGCUUUUUCCAAGCACACAGGGCCGGAGCUCUGGCAGGUUGUUCUCCAUAAGUCACCUUAUCAGAAGCACACCCACGAGGAGAGCAGGGAUCCUGUAAGCAGGGCCAUAGGAAAGAAAGAGUGAGCCAACAGAAGCUGCCUAUGGACACCAGGAAGCGGACACCGGGAAGCGGACACCGGGAAGCAGACACCGGAAGCCGCCACUUACCCCCAGCCAGAGAUGAUGAUGAUUCCCACCGGAAGCUGAACGCUCUCGCGCUUCUUUAAAAGAAACAAAGAAACUGCUAGAAGGCCUAGAAACAAGAAAACAAGAUUAUACAAGAUGAUUACUCUUCCUCUUGGCAUGGAAGCUGCAGCACUUUACUCUGUGAGGG
rnacentral:lncRNA from 1 species